AAGUCCUGAGGUGAAAUAAUCAUAUUGAAUUGCAAAUUCAAAGAAGCAGCUUCAACUCUGCCGGGGCUU
rnacentral:tRNA from 1 species